GCAGAGCGUGGUGGCACGUGCCUGUAGUCCCAGCUACUCGGGAGGCUGAGGCAAGGGAAUUGCUUGAACUCGGAAGGUGGAGGUUGCAGUGAGCCUAGAUCGCGCCACUGCACUCCAGCCUGGNNNNNNNNNNCCAGGCUGGAGUGCAGUGGCGCGAUCUAGGCUCACUGCAACCUCCACCUUCCGAGUUCAAGCAAUUCCCCUGCCUCAG
rnacentral:SRP_RNA from 1 species